rnacentral:pre_miRNA from 1 species
UUUUUAGUGUAAGUAUGUCCCAUGCAAUAUUUGGGACAUACUUAUACUUUAA